rnacentral:rRNA from 1 species
CCUACUGGUGGCAGCAGUGAGGAAUAUUGGUCAAUGGACGAGAGUCUGAACCAGCCAAGUAGCGUGAAGGAUGACUGCCCUAUGGGUUGUCAACUUCUUUUAUAUGGGAAUAAAAUGUUCCACGUGUGGGAUUUUGUAUGUACCAUAUGAAUAAGGAUCGACUAACUCCGUGCCAGCAGCCGCGGUAAUACGGAGGAUCCGAGCGUUAUCCGGAUUUAUUGGGGUUAAAGGGAGCGUAGGUGGGUUGUUAAGUCGGUUGUGAAAGUUGUCGGCUCAACCGUAAAAUUGCAGUUGAAACUGGCAUUGUUGAGUACAGUAGAGGUGGGCGGAAUUCGUGGUGUAGCGGUGACAUGCUUAGAUAUCACGAAGAACUCCGAUUGCGAAGGCAGCUCACUGGACUGCAACUGACACUGAGGCUCGAAAGUGUGGGUAUCAAACAGGAUUAGAUACCCGGGUAGUC